rnacentral:rRNA from 1 species
AGAACGAACGCUGGCGGCAGGCUUAACACAUGCAAGUCGAACGCGUGUAGCAAUACACGAGUGGCGCACGGGUGAGUAACGCGUGGAUAUCUGCCUUUUGGUUCGGAAUAACCCCGGGAAACUGGGGCUAAUACCGGAUGGUUCCUACGGGAUAAAGAUUUAUCGCCAAAAGAUGAGUCCGCGUCCGAUUAGCUAGUUGGUGGGGUAAUGGCCUACCAAGGCGACGAUCGGUAGCUGGUCUGAGAGGACGAUCAGCCACACUGGGACUGAGACACGGCCCAGACUCCUACGGGAGGCAGCAGUGGGGAAUAUUGGACAAUGGGGGCAACCCUGAUCCAGCCAUGCCGCGUGAGUGAUGAAGGCCUUCGGGUUGUAAAGCUCUUUUGGCGGGGACGAUGAUGACGGUACCCGCAGAUAAGCCCGGCUAACUCGUGCCAGCAGCCGC